GACGAACGCUGGCGGCGUGCCUAAUACAUGCAAGUCGAACGCAGUGGGGACGGGUGAGUAACACGUGGGUAACCUCCCAUCAGAGGGGAUAACACUUGGAAACCGGUGCUAAACCGAUACAGAUGGAUGGAACCGCGGUGCAUUAGUUCGUGGGUGAGGUACCGGCACACCAAGGCAACGAGGCAUAGCCGACCUGAUAGGUUGAUCGGCCACACUGGGGCUGAGACACGGCCCAGACUCCUACGGGAGGCAGCAGUAGGGAAUCUUCGGCAAUGGAAGAAAGUCUGACCGAGCACCGCCGCGUGAGUGAUGAAGGUUUUCGGAUCGUAAAGCUCUGUUGUAAGAGAAGCGGUAUUUUACCAGAAAGGGACGGCUAACUACGUGCCAGCAGCCGCGGUAAUAC
rnacentral:rRNA from 1 species